CACCGCGGUUAUACGAGAGGCCCAAGUUGAUAGCCGCCGGCGUAAAGAGUGGUUAAUAAGCCCCAAAUACUAAAGCCGAACAUCUUCAAAGCUGUUAUACGCAACCGAAGACAGGAAGACCCUCCACGAAAGUGGCUUUAAACCUUAUGACCCCACGAAAGCUAGGACA
rnacentral:rRNA from 1 species